rnacentral:tRNA from 1 species
AAAGUUUAGUAUAAUUUAUUAUAUUAUUUUUUCAAAAUAAAGAUUUUUUUUA